CCGGCGCACGGGUGAGUAACACGUAUCCAACCUGCCUGACACAGGGGGAUAAUCCGAAGAAAUUUGGUCUAAUACCCCAUAAUACCGAUAUAGGCAUCUAUGUUGGUUGAAAGCUUUGGUGGUGUCAGAUGGGCAUGCGUUGUAUUAGCUAGUUGGUGAGGUAACGGCUCACCAAGGCGACGAUACAUAGGGGGACUGAGAGGUUAACCCCCACACUGGUACUGAGACACGGACCAGACUCCUACGGGAGGCAGCAUG
rnacentral:rRNA from 1 species